rnacentral:rRNA from 1 species
UACAGAGGUCUCAAGCGUUGUUCGGAAUCACUGGGCGUAAAGGGCGCGUAGGCGGCCCUCCUUGUCGCGUGUGAAAGCCCCGGGCUCAACCUGGGAACGGCGCGCGAGACGGGGGGGCUGGAGUUCGGGAGAGGAGCGUGGAAUUCCCAGUGUAGAGGUGAAAUUCGUAGAUAUUGGGAAGAACACCGGUGGCGAAGGCGGCGCUCUGGACCGAGACUGACGCUGAGGCGCGAAAGCGUGGGGAGCAAACAGG